GGUUAAGCGACUAAGCGUACACGGUGGAUGCCUAGGCAGUCAGAGGCGAUGAAGGGCGUGCUAAUCUGCGAAAAGCGUCGGUAAGGUGAUAUGAACCGUUACAACCGACGAUACCCGAAUGGGGAAACCCAGUGCAAUUCGUUGCACUAUUGCAUGGUGAAUACAUAGCCAUGCAAGGCGAACCGGGGGAACUGAAACAUCUAAGUACCCCGAGGAAAAGAAAUCAACCGAGAUUCCCCCAGUAGCGGCGAGCGAACGGGGAGGAGCCCAGAACCUGAAUCAGCAUAUGUGUUAGUGGAAGCGUCUGGAAAGUCGCACGGUACAGGGUGAUAGUCCCGUACACAAAAAUGCAUAUGUUGUGAGUUCGAUGAGUAGGGCGGGACACGUGACAUCCUGUCUGAAUAUGGGGGGACCAUCCUCCAAGGCUAAAUACUCCUGACUGACCGAUAGUGAACCAGUACCGUGAGGGAAAGGCGAAAAGAACCCCGGCGAGGGGAGUGAAAUAGAACCUGAAACCGUGUACGUACAAGCAGUGGGAGCACCUUCGUGGUGUGACUGCGUACCUUUUGUAUAAUGGGUCAGCGACUUAUAUUUUGUAGCAAGGUUAACCGAAUAGGGGAGCCGUAGGGAAACCGAGUCUUAACUGGGCGAAUAGUUGCAAGGUAUAGACCCGAAACCCGGUGAUCUAGCCAUGGGCAGGUUGAAGGUUGGGUAACACUAACUGGAGGACCGAACCGACUAAUGUUGAAAAAUUAGCGGAUGACUUGUGGCUGGGGGUGAAAGGCCAAUCAAACCGGGAGAUAGCUGGUUCUCCCCGAAAGCUAUUUAGGUAGCGCCUCGUGAACUCAUCUUCGGGGGUAGAGCACUGUUUCGGCUAGGGGGUCAUCCCGACUUACCAAACCGAUGCAAACUCCGAAUACCGAAGAAUGUUAUCACGGGAGACACACGGCGGGUGCUAACGUCCGUCGUGAAGAGGGAAACAACCCAGACCGCCAGCUAAGGUCCCAAAGUCAUGGUUAAGUGGGAAACGAUGUGGGAAGGCAUAGACAGCCAGGAUGUUGGCUUAGAAGCAGCCAUCAUUUAAAGAAAGCGUAAUAGCUCACUGGUCGAGUCGGCCUGCGCGGAAGAUGUAACGGGGCUAAACCAUGCACCGAAGCUGCGGCAGCGACACUUAGGUGUUGUUGGGUAGGGGAGCGUUCUGUAAGCCGUUGAAGGUGACCUGUGAGGGUUGCUGGAGGUAUCAGAAGUGCGAAUGCUGACAUAAGUAACGAUAAUGCGGGUGAAAAACCCGCACGCCGGAAGACCAAGGGUUCCUGUCCAACGUUAAUCGGGGCAGGGUGAGUCGACCCCUAAGGCGAGGCUGAAAAGCGUAGUCGAUGGGAAACAGGUUAAUAUUCCUGUACUUGGUGUUACUGCGAAGGGGGGACGGAGAAGGCUAGGCUAGCCGGGCGACGGUUGUCCC
rnacentral:rRNA from 1 species